rnacentral:rRNA from 1 species
UACGUAGGGCGCAAGCGUUGUCCGGAAUUAUUGGGCGUAAAGAGCUCGUAGGCGCCUGUCGCGUCCGCUGUGAAAUCCCCAGGCUUAACCUGGGAACUGCAUCCGAUACUGGAUGGCUUGAAUCCGGGAGAGGGAUGCGGAAUUCCAGGUGUAGCGGUGAAAUGCGUAGAUAUCUGGAGGAACACCGGUGGCGAAGGCGGUUCUCUGGGCCUUACCUGACGCUGAGGAGCGAAAGCGUGGGGAGCAAACAGG